UGAAUGUCGCCUUCUUGAGAAGA
rnacentral:miRNA from 1 species